rnacentral:rRNA from 1 species
UGGAUCCUACGGGACGCAGCAGUGGGGAAUAUUGGGCAAUGGGGGAAACCCUGACCCAGCGACGCCGCGUGAGGGAAGAAGGUUUUCGGAUUGUAAACCUCUGUCCUUGGUGACGAUAAUGACGGUAGCCAAGGAGGAAGCCACGGCUAACUACGUGCCAGCAGCCGCGGUAAUACGUAGGUGGCGAGCGUUGUCCGGAAUUACUGGGUGUAAAGGGAGCGUAGGCGGGAG